rnacentral:lncRNA from 1 species
AUUACUUCCUUCCCUGAUCAUGCAAUGAAUUUAUUCAAAUAGAAUAUGCAAGUCGUGGCAACUUUUCUAAAGACAACGCAAUAAAGAAACUACUAAACGAGUUGACAGAUGAUAUUUCUUCAGGCGCUAGAGCUAACAUUAUAAUGCAAUUACUGGCCUAUAUUUUGUCAACAAUAAGUAUCCGAAAGGAAAAACCAGCAGGACGAUGGAAGCUCCUUCGCUUAGAAGUUGCUGAAGGAUAACCAUAAACCCUGAAUCUACAUAAGAACUUCCUCUAAGUACGCAUAUGUGCUUAUCUACCCUAGCAAAUCCCCUUUUUUGGUUUAGUAAAAAACUUUUCUAAUGUAGGUGGUAAAUUAGUUCCCUCACGCUAAGAUAUUAUAUACACCAGCACGUUUAUUUUGUAUUUGAUAAAAUAAAAGUAUUUACUA